rnacentral:rRNA from 1 species
GACGAACCGUGCGAACGUUAUUCGGAAUCACUGGGCUUAAAGGGCGCGUAGGCGGGCCGACAAGUCUGCGGUGAAAGCCUCCAGCUUAACUGGAGAAGUGCCGUGGAUACUGUCGGCCUCGAGGAGGGUAGGGGCAUCUGGAACGUUGGGUGGAGCGGUGAAAUGCGUUGAUAUCCAACGGAACUCCGGUGGCGAAGGCGAGGUGCUGGACCCUUUCUGACGCUGAGGCGCGAAAGCCAGGGGAGCGAACGGG